CUAUCCUGAGGACAUGGUGCCCCCAGGGACCUUUGACACCAUGGGGUCUGA
ensembl:snoRNA